CCUACGGGGGGCAGCAGUGAGGAAUAUUGGUCAAUGGACGAGAGUCUGAACCAGCCAAGUAGCGUGAAGGAUGACUGCCCUAUGGGUUGUAAACUUCUGUUAUAAAGGAAUAAAACGAGGCACGUGUGCGUUUUUGCAUGUACAAUAUGAAUAAGGAUCGGCUAACUCCGUGCCAGCAGCCGCGGUAAUACGGAGGAUCCGAGCGUUAUCCGGAUUUAUUGGGUUUAAAGGGAGCGUAGAUGGCUUGUUAAGUCAGUUGUGAAAGUUUGCGGCUCAACCGUAAAAUUGCAAUUGAAACUGGCAGUCUUGAGUACAGUUGAGGUCGGCGGCAUUCGUGUUGUAGCGGU
rnacentral:rRNA from 1 species